UUUCUGAAAGAUGUCUCAUGGCCGCCGCAUAACUUGAUAAAAAAGGCUUCCGUGUCCAAAAGGUGAACCACAAAAGGACGACAGGCUCGUGGCUUCAUCCGCCUCAGCAGGAUUCAUCUCGAGAAAGAGUCAUUUCACUUUCUUCUAGUUUGGGGGCAAGAGGGGACGCUAUGGAUGCUGGGACUAUUGCAGUCCUUCUAGCGACCAUGGCAUUUGGCAUGUCUUUUGGUGGAAAUGUACUACUAAAUGAAAAUGGAACAACCGUCAACGUGUCUCUUGUGAUGACCUUGGAGGAAGCUUUUGUGGAAGAGUUAAACAAUCGUAGCAGUGAACAACACAAAAGUCUUGAAGCACAAGUGGUAUCAAUGUGUGACUUCAUCUAUAUCAAAGAAUUUAGAACUAAUUUCAUUAAAACCACCUUCAUUGGAUUUAGUCCAAAAAUGGGAAACACGCAAGUGGAAGUGGCACUGAAGUUCAGCAAUACAUCGUCUGAUCAAAUCCCAAAAGACGAUGUAGUUGUAAACAUAUUGCUACAGGUUGUGAAUAGUACAAGCAACCCUUUCAAAUUCACCGUUGUUCGAGAAACGGCAAAAGUAAUUUCACCAGAAGAAUCAACAACGAGUGGACCGAUAACAACUUCGGUAAUCUCAAUUCCCUUACCAGUUGUGUCUCUUGGAGCCACUCUGGUGGAACCUUUUGUGGAAGAAUUGAACAAUCGCAGCAGUGAACAAUACAAAG